GUGGAGCUUCUGCUUUGUGAUCUUUCUAGCAUAACAAACUGCCACAGGCUUGGUUGUUGCAGACACAGCCGUGGCACCGCAGCGCAGCGGUCUCGGCAUGUCUAGGUGUGUGAGAAUCUCUCUGCAGGUGUGCCGGGUUCGUCUCCGUCAGACCCAGCCGCCCCGUUCCCUCCGAGAGCCUGAUCAACAGAUGGCAUCAUGACUCUGCCCUACAGGAGUGGCCUUCUCUCUCCCCCGAAAACCCGGCACUUCACCCCGUCCAAACCCAGCCCCCCGCUGCACGGCUUAAUUACUGCCGCCGCUCUCUGCUCUGUUCUCCCAGAGAGCUGAACGGCCGAGAGAGGGUACAACGUUAGGGAGUGACUCAGCUUAGCUUGGAGCAGUUGCAGAGAUGGUAGGGGGUUGAGGGGGGAAGCUGCAAUCUGGAGAGGACUAGGGCGAGACUUUGCUCUCGCUGCGCAGAAGUGUUGCGCUUAGAGCUGAGUAGAUACAGGUAUGUGUGGUGGGGAACGAGAGGUGCCUAGAGCUUUAGGCAGAACAGAUGGAGCGGCUGGAUCUGCAACCAGAGGCUCAAGGAUGGGAGAAUUGCUGCAGCCUCUGCCAGCUGAGUGCCAGAGGACUACAGGAUGGAGAUUCUCUGAUGCACAAAAAUGAGAGGAAAGUUUGAUGAGGCAAGAUCUGAACAAACAAUAACAGAGGAGUAGAUUGCAGACGCAGCUCAGAAAAACCUUAAUAGCACCGAGCGGCACAUGAUCCCUGGAAUGAAGAACGUGAAUGACUCCAUUAACAGAGGUACAUCUGCACGCACCAAUAAAACGAAGAGAUGACGAGGAGGGGGUCUGCUGUAUUGUUGUGCUCCACAGCCCAGACAAGGGAGGCUGGCAGAAUGUCUAUUUCACAGAGAACAGAAACCUGCCCUGUAUUGACAUAAAGGAGACUGGAGAGUUUCCCAGCAAAUUGAAAUUCAAUUCUAAUCUGGCUCUGAAUUAUUUGCUUUGCGCUGUAUUGUAAGAGAACAGGCAGCUUCUGCUGUUUGGCUGAGGGGUGGGAAACGAUGCCAAAGCAUGUGCUCAGCUCAACACAUUUCACAUGAUAUCUGUAAAGCCAGAAUAAUGCUAAUAUCACAUACAUUCUAUCAAAAAUACCCAAAGUAUUGCAUAAAAAGACAGCUUACUUGCACGAGUGAAAUUAUUAUAUUCAACAUUAAAUAUACUUCGUAAUAAGUUCCAAUGUUAAGCUAACAUUUAAGAAUGAUGUGGAAAUUGGUAGACAGGUUGGACUUGCUGUCUGUAAUAGAGAGGCUUAACCAUGAGUCUUGAUUUAAGCUUAUAAUUCCACAGUGAGAAAAGUGAAAGCUGGGAUGGUGCUUUGGUAACCUAAAUGUAAAAAUAGGGAAAAUAUGAAUUUCUAAUUAAAUAUCCAAAAUCAUCAUACCAUUAAUAUUUAUUAACCAAUAACUGGAUAAUAUUAGAAUAAUGCAAUAUUAAAAUAAGUCAGU